AUUGAACGCUGGCGACAUGCCUUACACAUGCAAGUCGAACGGCAGCACGGGUGCUUGCACCUGGUGGCGAGUGGCGAACGGGUGAGUAAUACAUCGGAACAUGUCCUGUAGUGGGGGAUAGCCCGGCGAAAGCCGGAUUAAUACCGCAUACGAUCUACGGAUGAAAGCGGGGGACCUUCGGGCCUCGCGCCAUAGGGUCGGCCGAUGGCUGAUUAGCUAGUUGGUGGGGUAAAGGCCUACCAAGGCGACGAUCAGUAGCUGGUCUGAGAGGACGACCAGCCACACUGGGACUGAGACACGGCCCAGACUCCUACGGGAGGCAGCAGUGGGGAAUUUUGGACAAUGGGCGAAAGCCUGAUCCAGCAAUGCCGCGUGUGUGAAGAAGGCCUUCGGGUUGUAAAGCACUUUUGUCCGGAAAGAAAUCCUUGGCCCUAAUACGGUCGGGGGAUGACGGUACCGGAAGAAUAAGCACCGGCUAACUACGUG
rnacentral:rRNA from 1 species